UACGUAGGGUCCGAGCGUUGUCCGGAAUUAUUGGGCGUAAAGAGCUCGUAGGCGGCCUGUCGCGUCGGAUGUGAAAACCCGGGGCUCAACCCCGGGCCUGCAUUCGAUACGGGCAGGCUAGAGUUCGGCAGGGGAGACUGGAAUUCCUGGUGUAGCGGUGAAAUGCGCAGAUAUCAGGAGGAACACCGGUGGCGAAGGCGGGUCUCUGGGCCGAUACUGACGCUGAGGAGCGAAAGCGUGGGGAGCGAACA
rnacentral:rRNA from 1 species